UGGCAACGAGGGGUCUGGAGGAAGCCGAUAGCAAAACACUGGCCUGAUGAACAAAAAGCAGAUAGUAGGCUUAUUCAGUGGGUAAGAGGUCUUAAAGACUCAAAGCCCAAAUACACGUACGGAGCUGAAUAAGUAGAUCUGACAGGCAUAAGUGUGAAAGCA
rnacentral:ncRNA from 1 species